AACGAACGCUGGCGGCAUGCCUAACACAUGCAAGUCGAACGAGACCUUCGGGUCUAGUGGCGCACGGGUGCGUAACGCGUGGGAACCUGCCCUUAGGUUCGGAAUAACUCAGAGAAAUUUGAGCUAAUACCGGAUAAUGUCUUCGGACCAAAGAUUUAUCGCCUUUGGAUGGGCCCGCGUAGGAUUAGCUUGUUGGUGGGGUAAUGGCCUACCAAGGCGACGAUCCUUAGCUGGUCUGAGAGGAUGAUCAGCCACACUGGGACUGAGACACGGCCCAGACUCCUACGGGAGGCAGCAGUGGGGAAUAUUGGACAAUGGGCGAAAGCCUGAUCCAGCAAUGCCGCGUGAGUGAUGAAGGCCGUAGGGUUGUAAAGCUCUUUUACCAGGGAUGAUAAUGACAGUACCUGGAGAAUAAGCUCCGGCUAACUCC
rnacentral:rRNA from 1 species